GACGAACGCUGGCGGCGUCCCUAAUACAUGCAAGUAGAACGCAGUUGCGAACGGGUGAGUAACGCGUAGGUAACUGCCUCAUAGCGGGGGAUAACGAUUGGAAACGAUAGCUAAUACCGCAUACUGUGAGAUAGACCUGCGUUGUAGUAGCUAGUUGGUGAGGUAAAGGCCCACCAAGGCGACGAUACAUAGCAGACCUGAGAGGGUGUGCGGCCACACGGUGACUGCGACGCGGCGCCGACCCCUCCGGGAGGCAGAAGGAGGGAAUCUUCGGCAAUGUACGGAGGUCUGACCUAGCAACGCCGCGUGAGUGAAGAAGAUUUUCGGAUCGUAAAGCUCUGUGGUUAGAGAAGCGGUAACUACCCAGAAAGGGACGGCUAACUACGUGCCAGCCGCCGCGGUAAUAC
rnacentral:rRNA from 1 species